rnacentral:rRNA from 1 species
CGAACUUCCGUUAAUUGAUUAUGACGUGCUUGCACUGAAUGAGAUUUUAACACGAAGUGAGUGGCGGACGGGUGAGUAACACGUGGGUAACCUGCCCAGAAGCAGGGGAUAACACCUGGAAACAGAUGCUAAUACCGUAUAACAGAGAAAACCGCCUGGUUUUCUUUUAAAAGAUGGCUCUGCUAUCACUUCUGGAUGGACCCGCGGCGCAUUAGCUAGUUGGUGAGGUAACGGCUCACCAAGGCGAUGAUGCGUAGCCGACCUGAGAGGGUAAUCGGCCACAUUGGGACUGAGACACGGCCCAGACUCCUACGGGAGGCAGCAGUAGGGAAUCUUCCACAAUGGACGCAAGUCUGAUGGAGCAACGCCGCGUGAGUGAAGAAGGGUUUCGGCUCGUAAAGCUCUGUUGUUAAAGAAGAACGUGGGUGAGAGUAACUGUUCACCCAGUGACGGUAUUUAACCAGAAAGCCACGGCUAACUACGUGCCAGCAGCCGCGGUAAUACGUAGGUGGCAAGCGUUAUCCGGAUUUAUUGGGCGUAAAGCGAGCGCAGGCGGUCUUUUAAGUCUAAUGUGAAAGCCUUCGGCUCAAC